CAUAACCACGUCAUCUGCCCCAAUGAGCACAUCUAUGGGCCGGAGAACCAGCGCAGAAAAGGAGUAAGUUUAAUUGGUCGUCAGAUGAAACGGUCUUCUUACAUCAAAUUCAUGAAAAAAGACGUAUAAUCAGAGGGUGUUAUGGAAAGAGCAUCACCCCUGAGGAUAAGAAGAGAGCGUGGACUGAAGUGGCAGAAGCUGUAACAAGUGCCUUCCCUGGGAGUGGACCCUGUACGCAGGAUGACUGUGAGAGGCGUUGGUACAACAUACAACAAAAAUCAAAGCCUCGCAUUGCCAAGUGCAAGAAUGAGCAGCGGCACUGCCCCGCUGCUGUAUUGCUAGAGACCAUCCCAGCACAUUGUUCAUUACUUGUGGAAAAGAUACCAUCAGCUGCUCCGGCAACAGCCACUGCUUCAACAUCUGCUGGCCCUAUGACACCAGCCACUGCUUCAUCAUCUGCUGACCCAAUGACACCUGCCACUGCUUCAACAUCUGCUGGCCCUAUGACACCAGCCACUGCUUCAUCAUCUGCUGGCCUAAUGACACCUGCCACUGCUUCAUCAUCUGCUGGCCUUAUGACACCAGCCACUGCUUCAUCAUCUGCUGGCCCAAAGACACCUGCCACUGCAAGGUAUGACAAUGAAGCUGCUCCACCACAGUCACCACCCACUUCAUUGGAGUUAAGAGAUGCCUUUCAUAGGGCAGCAGCAUAAUUUUUUUAUGCUGGGGCUGAAUAUUACUGCCUCAAGGCUAUGAUUUUGUCACUUUUUUUUUUUUUUAUUAUUACUGAGGAGGUUAGGGUGGAAGGGGUGAAAAAUAAUCUCUGCUGUUUUUCGACAGAAAUGGUUAGCAAAUUCAUUCAAAGCACAAAAUUUGCCAGAAAUAAAAUUGUGUGCCAUUGUGAGUGGGUUCACUUGAGAUUGGGCUCCAAUACGCCUCCGUGGUCUAGUGGUCAGCAUGCCUGGCUUUUACGCGGGCCCAGGUUUGAAUCCCGGCCCGGGCAGUUGGCAUGCAGCUCACCCAGCUGAUCAUUCUCCCUCUCGGGCUGGUCGAUAAAUGACUGCCUAGGGAAACUGUGGUAACCCAGAUGUUACACUGGCCUUGUGUC